AGGGUUUGAUCAUGGCUCAGAACGUACGCUGGCGGCACGCCUAACACAUGCAAGUCGAACGAAGUAGCAAUACUUAGUGGCAGACGGGUGAGUAACAUGUGGGUAUCUGCCCUUUGGCCUGGAAUAACACGAGGAAACUUGUGCUAAUACCGGAUAAGUCUUUACGGAGAAAGCUUUAUGCACCAUUGGAUGAGCCCGCACUUGAUUAGUUUGUUGGUGGGGUAAUGGCCUACCAAGACUUUGAUCAAUAGCUGAUUUGAGAGGAUGAUCAGCCACAUUGGGACUGAGACACGGCCCAAACUCCUACGGGAGGCAGCAGUGGGGAAUCUUGCACAAUGGAGGAAACUCUGAUGCAGCGAUGCCGCGUGAGUGAAGAAGGCCCUUGGGUUGUAAAGCUCUUUCGUCGGGGAAGAAAAUGACUGUACCCGAAUAAGAAGGUCCGGCUAACUUCGUGCCAGCAGCCGCGGUAAUACGAAGGGACCUAGCGUAGUUCGGAAUUACUGGGCUUAAAGAGUUCGUAGGUGGUUGAAAAAGUUGGUGGUGAAAUCCCAGAGCUUAACUCUGGAACUGCCAUCAAAACUUUUCAGCUAGAGUUUGAUAGAGGAAAGCAGAAUUUCUAGUGUAGAGGUGAAAUUCGUAGAUAUUAGAAAGAAUACCAAUUGCGAAGGCAGCUUUCUGGAUCAUUACUGACACUGAGGAACGAAAGCAUGGGUAGCGAAGAGGAUUAGAUACCCUCGUAGUCCAUGCUGUAAACGAUGUGUGUUAGACGUUGGAAAUUUAUUUUCAGUGUCGCAGCGAAAGCGAUAAACACACC
rnacentral:rRNA from 1 species